rnacentral:rRNA from 1 species
GACGAACGCUGGCGGCGUGCUUAACACAUGCAGGUCGAACGGAAAGGCCCUGCUUUUGUGGGGUGCUCGAGUGGCGAACGGGUGAGUAACACGUGAGUAACCUGCCCUUGACUUUGGGAUAACUUCAGGAAACUGGGGCCAAUACCGGAUAGGAGCUCCUGCUGCAUGGUGGGGGUUGGAAAGUUUCGGCGGUUGGGGAUGGACUCGCGGCUGAUCAGCUUGUUGGUGGGGUAGUGGCUUACCAAGGCUUUGACGGGUAGCCGGCCUGAGAGGGUGACCGGCCACAUUGGGACUGAGAUACGGCCCAGACUCCUACGGGAGGCAGCAGUGGGGAAUAUUGCACAAUGGGCGGAAGCCUGAUGCAGCAACGCCGCGUGCGGGAUGACGGCCUUCGGGUUGUAAACCGCUUUCGCCUGUGACGAAGCGUGAGUGACGGUAAUGGGUAAAGAAGCACCGGCUAACUACGUG